ensembl:lncRNA
AGAGAGACAAGUCUGUCAAAAAUGACAUAGAUAUAAUAGAGCCUCCCUCUUGGCAAGGCAGCGGGUCAGGUCGCCUCUUAAUUCUCUUUCCUGGCUGGCUCACUCUGUGUGUGCAACUGCAAACCAGAGGGAACAGAAAUGCUGUGAUUUGCAUGGACUGGUCCUCCCAGAAGCUGAAAACAAAAAUGCAGAGCAGUUUUUGAUGGACACAAAAAGAAUGAAAUCCUAAUGAGGGUAGUGAAGAAUUAUAACUGCAAAGAAUGAAGAGACAAAGAUUAAAAGUGGAAAAGAAUAUACAUAUUUUUAAAUAAAAUCUUCUGGACUACUGACAUCUUUGUAAUUAUGUGUUGGGACAGUGUUUCCUAUUAUUUUAGAAUUUCUUCAGUCAUUUGGGGACAAGAGCAAAGCCAAACAAGGGAGCAGCUAAGUGCGUAGAGGAGAUAUCUUCAGCUGUUACCCAUCAUUUCUGGAUGUGGGCGAGGAGUUAGGCAAGUUAAAGUCUAGAAUUAUUCUCAGGUGUUGGAUAAAGAGAAGAGUCCCAACUCUAUUAAUGUCUUCUCUGGUCCCAUCUAUGGCUUUACUCUGCAAAACUCUUUCUGUUCUGGAUUUGGGACCCCAACAACUGCAGGCUCCUGUAGGCCUUCUCAUCCCUGCGCUGUUCAGUGACCUACACUGAAGACAGCAGGAAGAUGGUGAUGCCCCUACAAUUAAUUGCCAGAAUAUGUGGAAAAAGAAGCAAAGAUGAUGUGGAGUGUGAAGGUCACUGCAGGGAGGAUGUGCUGAGUCUUACUGUGAACAUUAAAGGAAAAUCUAAACCUGCUCAGGAAUUAUGGGCUCUUGAACUCUGACUGACCUCCUCCAGUAGAUUUGCUUUUAGAGAAUAUUGUUUGAUUAGUGAUAUUAGGUACUGAAUGCUCUGUAGCUCAUCUGAGUGGAUUGACAAGUAAGGGAAUAGAUUGCUCUGUGAAAAAUAAUAAUAGUAAUAAUCCAAAGAUGAUUUUCUAAGUGUUGAAAAUCCCAUGCAAAAACCUUUUCUCAUAGGCAGAUCCUAUUCACUUAAGUGAAACAAUAACUUGGUUUCAGAGGAAAAAAAAAGUAUAUGAAAACAAUUGUCCCUUUUUCAAGAUAGUCUUGCAGCAAGCCUGAGGUUAACAGUAUGUGUUCGAUUCAUCGUAAUUACUAGAAAUGUUUCAUCCAUUCAGAAGCCUUUGCAAUACCCCCAGGACUGCUAAGCUUUAAUAUAAGCUGUUUUUCUCUUUUAUUUCUGUUUUUUCUCUCACAUGAUUUCCCCUUUUCUUUACUCUAGGUGUCGAGCUUUUGUUGAUUUUUUUCACUUGGAAAGGUAACAGUAAAGUGAUGGUGUUUCACAUCUUUUAUCUGAAUUUCUAGAGUCGAAUUCUUACAAAGAAACUAUUUCUUGAUAAAAUUAUUUCACAGGUUUUCUAGUGAAUGAGUUUGAUCAAUCAGUAGUUCCCGUUUGAUAGAGUAUACAAAUGAUGUUGUGGUACAUGAUAAUCUUCGGGUUUUCCCACUACCUAGCAGAAUGCUGGUACCGAGGUGGGAGUGUGGAAAUAGAAAAACUGACAGGCCAGACAAAUGAACAAUUAAGUUUGUGUACCGAGGUCUGUGGCAACGUAAUAGAAUGAGGUGGAAUACGUGCCCGGAAUAUCAAAAUUUUACAUGCUAGUUUAAAGUGUCCCAGGAGAGCUGUGGGGAUAGAUACUGCAUGGAAAGUGAGCAGUGUUCUCAUUACAGCAGAUUAUGUUACUUAUCAGUAGCCUGAAUAUGGGAAAAUAAGACUGGAACUGUUUGAAAAUAAGUGAAUAUGCAUAUUUUUCUAAACCAAAAUACUGCUUAUUUGCAGGGUGUAUAUUUUGAAGUAAUGACUGGUCAAAGAGGAGUAUCAGUGCAUUUCAAGGAGCAAAGUGUGAGAGAUUUUCAGCUUGAUCUCAGGUAAGAGCCUGGCAGGUUGUGCUGAUAAAUCAUGUCAUAGAAGACACAAGUUCCAAAAGCUACCAUUCUCCAGCCAGAUCUGGAGGGUUAUGAGUGGUGAAAUGACAAUGAGAAGUGAAAAUGCUUGCUUCUAUCGGUUAUUUAAGUAAUUUCUCCUUCCAGAAAAUUGAUGUAGUCCACAUUGCAUACUGCACUGCACCUCCAGUUUGGACAGGAGAGGAGCUGUGUUAGCAAAUGCUCAACCAAAUGUAAAAACAUUGCUAAAGUAAUGGACUCCAACAAAGAUCCAAUUUCACUUUAGGGGACAAGACUUGUAGCACAUGCGCAAUCUUUAUGUGAGCUGAUGAAUCCACCAAGAUCAGCACAGAGAAAAUUGAUCUUCAGAAAAGCGAUUGGAGCUGCAGGUUUCCUGCUGUGGGAGAACCCAGGCUACCUGGGAUGUGUUCAGACCACAACAACUCCGUGUCCUUCUUGUGCUGGGGGCCCCAGAACUGGAUGCAGUAGUCCACGUGGGAUCUCACGAGAGGAGAAUAGAGGGGCAGAAUCACCUCCCUCAACCUCCUGGUCACGUUUCUCUUGAUGCAAUACAGGAUAUGGUUGUCCUUCUGAGCUGCAAGCACAUGCUGCUGGAUCAUGCUGAAUCUUUCAUCAAGUGACAUUCCCAGAUCCUUCUCCUCAGGGCUUCUCUCAAGCCAUUCUCUGCCCAACCUCUGUCUGUGCUUGGGAUUGCCCCAACCUGGGUCAAUUUCAAAUGUCAAGUCAAUUUCAAAGGUGAAGUUUUACCAUUGUCUUACUAUUUGCUAGCAAGAGUGUAUUUGUUUUUUUAGCAGUAGCUUCAGUUCACUCAGUGACUGCUCUGAGCCAUCAGUGGCAUCAGGCAUGCCUCUCUCAAGCAUGAAAACAGCCUCUUGGAACACAUGAAAUGUGAGGCCGUUUCCUUGUGAGUUAGAAAUAGCAGUAAGAGGAGGCAUCUUUGUUCUGUUGUGCUUUACUUCUUGUUUGAGAUUUUCGAGGGUUUUGUUUGUUUGUUGUUUUCCUAAUUCUGUUUUACUUCUCCUUGUCGCAUUAGUGUUCUUUGAGGUUGGUUAGGUGUUUUUUGUUUUGUUUUGGUUUGGUUUGGUUUUUUUUUGCUGUUUUGUUUUGUUUCCUAACCACAAUGCUGAGGAGAAUCAUUCAGCCUCCAGCUAUUUUUUAUGAAAACUUCUGAAGAAGAUAUCUAGCAUGUGUCCCUUAACUGCUCUUGUUCAUUGCUGGCAAAUGCAUAGCUAAUGGUGGUGAUUAUAUUGAAAAUCAGUGUUCUGUAGCUGAGAAUUUGCUCUAUGAAAUAGUUUUAUUACUCUCUUUGUAUCUGUUGUCAUUUCCAUGGAAAUAAAUAGGAGGCAUUACUUUCAGAGUGACCUGCAUAUGUGAAUGGAGAAUAGACACAUUUUCACUAAAUAUUCCAAAGCCAUCUCUGUGCAAUACCCCUGAUGUCUGUGCUGUCUUGAAAAGGUUGACCUUGUUGAUAUUCAAGAAGAUGAGUGUUAAAUGGCUUCAGUGUGAGGUUCUGUUGAAAUGAUAGAGAGAGUAGAUACCACUUCUUCUCUAGAAAUUAUUAGACUGCAUUUAUUAAACAACAGAAGAAUUUGGCAAAACAGAGCAUGUAAGCUGAGAAUAAGGGAACUUAGGUUUGUCAGCUGUAAUUAUGUUUAUGGAAGUUUCUUGUACUGUAUGUUCAUAGCUUCUUACACUCUAUACCAGAAGUCAUCAGUACCCAAUUGCGUAUCUGGCUCUUGCUGUCUUGUGAAAGACAUUCCCUUUUUGUGGAGACCUAUAGACCCUCUUCUUCCUAAGGAAUGGUUGCAUGUCCUAUUUUGGCAACCGCAUGAAAGGGGAGAUGUUGAAAUAAAACAUAAUUAGUAAUGAUUCUCCAGUAUCACCUGAUUACACCAGUAAUAAAAAUGUAUUUGGGUAAAAUUAGUAAAUUAAUGCAGAUUGAAAUAAUUGUCAGUAUAAAUGAUUUGGUUUGAGCUUUGCUAAACAAAUUGUGUGUUUUAACAGACAAACACUUAUGGUUUAGUGCAAAAAGGAUUUUAAAAGUCAUUUUCCAUGCAUAGUCCCUAUAUAUCAGGGAGGAGAAAUAAGGGAAAAGACUCUUCAAGGCACCAAAUAUUUUUGUAUACAAAAGUAGAUUUCAUCUCAUAAAAUAAUUUUUGAAGAGAAAAACACUCCUCCCUCUUGCCCUGACCUCAGAUGGAAAGGAGAAGAGGCACCUAUUGUGGUACAAUGUUGCUUGGGAAAACAUUGUGGCUGUCUGUUUUGAAGGAAAUGAAAAACCAUUAAAAGGAUAAUAGAAUAAAAGUGCAAUGAGAUGUUCGAAGGAUCCAUCAAUAAAAGGAUGGCAAGCAAUCGCUAAAGACAGCCCUUUCUAAAUGUAGUUUUAUUGCCAGAGGAUGGAAAAUUGAGAGAGAAUUUGCGAACAAUUGAAUUUAUGGUAAUGGCAUAUAAGCAUAUUGUACCACCAAAGCAAAGCACAGAGAGAGUAUAAAACACAAAAUACACCUAUGUCCCAUGGAAACGCUCGUGUUCUGCCUAUUAUCUCCUGGUAUUGCAAAAUGUAAUAUCCAGAUAUUAAAAUCAAAUAUAUUGUGAAAUGCAUUAGCAGUCGUUGACACGGAUGACAUUCUGCUCUGUGCCUGCUUUAAGGUGAAUUGCUGGACCAAAAGUAAUGCCAGAGGUGAGUGCAAAGGAGCUUGCUCCUGUGUGCUCAGGGCAACGUUGUUUCUUGGCUUCGGUGACAUCUGGGCAUCCCUGUGCUGGCUUAUGGGCAAAUCACCUGGGGAUAAUUUGAGUCAAUUUGGAUUUUAAGCCUUUUUAAAAUGCGCUGUUGCUCGGUCUGUACAGCCGGCAGAGGUGGCUGCUAAACAACAGGCAGGAAGAAAAUAAUUAACUGAUGGGCUGGGAGAUGGAGCCUGCCAGUAACCAGAUAAACCGGAAAGGAGAAGAACUUCUGCCACAGGACAGGCACAAAUAUCUGCUCUGUCCGAAGCCCCAGACAAAGGCUGAUAGCGUGAAAAACCUGUGGCUGAAAAACCACAGGCGUCAGGGAACUAACUGUAUGCUUACAGUCAGCCUGCACUCGACCAGAAGGGCAGCCUUCAGGGAGGGAUGGGGAAGGCUUUCCUGUAAGACGCUUCGAUUUUCUUGCAUCUGUGGAGAAACUGCUGGCCUGCUUUCAAAGAGGAUAUCUGUGGGUGGUUUGGGUUUAGUUUUUACACCAUCUCCCUGCUUCACGGUACCAGCAGCCUGCUGUAGCACUGUGCCUCCCCUAGGGGCUGCAGGGUGGUGAGGUGUUGUUUCUGAUGCCCCAUCCCCACUGCUGCCCUCUCCCAUUGCUCUCGCUGCAGUGCUGCUGCCUGCAACAGGGGGACAACACAGCUGCAAAAACAAUUGGGGAUUACUUUCUAGUGUUGUUUAGCUUUUUAAAGUGUAGUCCUUCCUACCACCAAGGAGAGCCUGCAAGCAAGUACUGGUGGGAUUAGAGAGCAUUGGGUUCUAGUGUUGGGUUCGAGUGUAGGCAGACAUGAGGUUAGAGAGUGUUGGCAGAUCUCGGAAUGUACCACCAACACACAGAAAUGGCAGAGCCAGCUUAUGACCCUGCUAAGACAAGUGGACAAGCCACCGACAGUUAAAAUACCACUAAGCCAAGACUCUGUUUUAAAGAUAAAGACUUCAGUGUUAACUUCUUUGUCAGCAGCACAGCAUUGUCUCUUUCCCUAAAAAUCUAAUUAGCAUGUAUCACAGUGUUGUUAUUAUUAAUGACUCUACCCCUCCUGAAAUAUAACAUUUCUGAUUUACAAUGUUUUGUUUGUUUCGCAUUGUUUCACCUGAAAUACGGUGACUGCUAAAUCUCUGGUAAGCCCUUAAAUGAGGGAGGAA